GAUGAACGCUGGCGGCGUGCCUAAUACAUGCAAGUCGAGCGAAUGGAUUAAGAGCUUGCUCUUAUGAAGUUAGCGGCGGACGGGUGAGUAACACGUGGGUAACCUGCCCAUAAGACUGGGAUAACUCCGGGAAACCGGGGCUAAUACCGGAUAAUAUUUUGAACUGCAUGGUUCAAAAUUGAAAGGCGGCUUCGGCUGUCACUUAUGGAUGGACCCGCGUCGCAUUAGCUAGUUGGUGAGGUAACGGCUCACCAAGGCAACGAUGCGUAGCCGACCUGAGAGGGUGAACGGCCACACUGGGACGGAGACACGGCCCAGACUCCUACGGGGGACAGCAGUAGGGAAUCUUCCGCAAUGGACGAAAGUCUGACGGAGCAACGCCGCGUGAGUGAUGAAGGCUUUCGGGUCGUAAAACUCUGUUGUUAGGGAAGAACAAGUGCUAGUUGAAUAAGCUGGCACCUUGACGGUACCUAACCAGAAAGCCACGGCUAACUACGUGCCAGCAGCCGCGGUAA
rnacentral:rRNA from 1 species